CCUACGGGAGGCAGCAGUGGGGAAUUUUGGGCAAUGGACGCAAGUCUGACCCAGCAACGCCGCGUGAAGGAAGAAGGCUUUCGGGUUGUAAACUUCUUUUAAGGGGGAAGAGGAGAAGACGGUACCCCUUGAAUAAGCCACGGCUAACUACAUGCCAGCAGCCGCGGUAAUACGUAGGUGGCAAGCGUUGUCCGGAUUUACUGGGUGUAAAUGGCGUGCAGCCGGGCCGACAAGUCAGAUGUGAAAUCCGCGGGCUUAACCCGCGAACUGCAUUUGAAACUAUAGGUCUUGAGUUCCGGAGAGGUAAGCGGAAUUCCUUGUGUAGCGGUGAAAUGCGUAGAUAUAAGGAAGAACACCAGUGGCGAAGGCGGAUUACUGGACGGUAACUGACGGUGAGGCGCGAAAGCGUGGGGAGCAAACAGGAUUAGAUACCCCUGUAGUC
rnacentral:rRNA from 1 species